CAGCCGCCGCGGUAAUACGAAGGGUGCAAGCGUUAAUCGGAAUUACUGGGCGUAAAGCGUGCGUAGGCGGUUUGUUAAGUCUGUUGUGAAAUCCCCGGGCUCAACCUGGGAAUGGCAAUGGAUACUGGCAAGCUAGAGUGUGUCAGAGGAUGGUGGAAUUCCCGGUGUAGCGGUGAAAUGCGUAGAGAUCGGGAGGAACAUCAGUGGCGAAGGCGGCCAUCUGGGACAACACUGGCGCUGAGGCACGAAAGCGUGGGGAGCAAACAGGAUUAGAUACCCGGGUAGUCCCUGUCUCUUAUAC
rnacentral:rRNA from 1 species